GCUGGGAUAGCUCAGUUGGUAGAGCAUGAGGCUCUUAAUCUCAGGGUCCUGGGUUCACAUGGGGCGAAAGGUUCCUGCA